GCUGUUGUAGCUCAGGGGUUAAGGAGUUCCACUGGUGAUCAUAAGGUCACUGGUUCAAUCUCCAGUUGAAGGUG